rnacentral:rRNA from 1 species
AGGAACCUGCCUCGGAGUGGGGAAUAACACAACGAAAGCUGUGCUAAUACCGCAUGAUACAGUUGGGUCGCAUGACUCUGACUGUCAAAGAUUUAUCGCUCUGAGAUGGCCUCGCGUCUGAUUAGCUGGUUGGCGGGGUAACGGCCCACCAAGGCGACGAUCAGUAGCCGGACUGAGAGGUUGACCGGCCACAUUGGGACUGAGACACGGCCCAG